ensembl:misc_RNA Metazoa_SRP Metazoan signal recognition particle RNA
GCCGGGCACGGUGGCCUGUGCCUGUAGUCCCAGCUACUCGGGAGGCUGAGGUGGGAGGAUCGCUUGAGCCCUAGAGUUCUGGGCUGUAGUGCGCUAUGCCGAUCAGGUGUCCGAACUAAGUUCGGCAUCAGUAUGGUGACCUCCCGGGAGCAGAGGACCAGGUUGCCUAAGGAGGGGUGACCCUGCCGAGGUCGGAAAUGGAGCAGGUCAAAACUCCCGUGCUGAUAGUAGUGGGUGCGUGCCUGUGAAUAGCCACUGCAUUCCAGCCUGGGCAACAUAGCAAGACCCCGUCUCUU